ensembl:miRNA sha-mir-193 sha-mir-193
UCAUUAGUUGUGUAAGAUAUUCCCGCUGUAGAAAGGAGCCUCUGACGGUUGUGAUUCCAGAGUCGGGGUUUUGAGGGCGAGAUGAGUUUAUGUUUUAUCCAACUGGCCCACAAAGUCCCGCUUUUGGUGGUCACUUUAAUCAACAAGGGA